GAGAGAUUCAUCGUCAUUCCGCGGCGUACGGGCUGCGCGCUUCGAUGUCGUCGGCCUCGGUCGUCAGGCACGACGCGCGUCCGUCGACGUCCGCGGACGGCGUGCACUUCUCUCUUAGUAAAUACAUCGCGACCCGUUCGAUGUCGGUCUAAGCGCCGUUCGGGAGCCCCAUGGUCCCUUAACGGGGUCUAUGGGACCGCGACGGUGGCCGACCGGCCGUCGGACGGUAGUUCUGACGAAACGCGCACGCGUUUAUAACGCGUCCGGCCCGACGCAAGUCAACGUCGUAUCCAACGUACCGCCUUAGCGCGGACGUAGGUGCGGCGCGUCUGUUGUUGCAGCCGUGCAGUCUCGGAC
rnacentral:rRNA from 4 species